CCAGACUCCUACGGGAGGCAGCAGUGGGGAAUAUUGGGCAAUGGGCGCAAGCCUGACCCAGCAACGCCGCGUGAAGGAAGAAGGCUUUCGGGUUGUAAACUUCUUUUGACAGGGAAGAGCAGAAGACGGUACCUGUCGAAUAAGCCACGGCUAACUACGUGCCAGCAGCCGCGGUAAUACGUAGGUGGCAAGCGUUGUCCGGAUUUACUGGGUGUAAAGGGCGUGUAGCCGGGCUGACAAGUCAGAUGUGAAAUCCGGGGGCUCAACCCGUGAACUGCAUUUGAAACUGUUUCCCUUGAGUGUCGGAGAGGUAAUCGGAAUUCCUUGUGUAGCGGUGAAAUGCGUAGAUAUACGGAGGAACACCAGUGGCGAAGGCGGCCUGCUGGACAAUAACUGACGCUGAGGCGCGAAAGCGUGGGGAGCAAACAGGAUUAGUACCCCAGUAC
rnacentral:rRNA from 1 species